CUUAACCUUACAACACCAAAGGUGUUUUGNCCAUGCCGAACUCAGAAGUGAAACGCCGUAGCGCCGAUGGUAGUGUGGGGUCUCCCCAUGCGAGAGUAGGACACUGCCAGGCA
rnacentral:rRNA from 1 species